AAAUACUAGUGAAUUUUAAAAUUGUACUUAUUUUUGGCUGGUGAGUUAAGCAAAUCUACCAGCCACUUGCAUAUUUUACUAGCAUUUGGCUGGUAAAUGGUGCUAAUUUCAGACCCUGCUUACAUACAUUGUAUGUAUUUUUAUA